rnacentral:rRNA from 1 species
UUAAGCGACUAAGCGUACACGGUGGAUGCCCUGGCAGUCAGAGGCGAUGAAGGACGUGCUAAUCUGCGAUAAGCGUCGGUAAGGUGAUAUGAACCGUUAUAACCGGCGAUUUCCGAAUGGGGAAACCCAGUGUGUUUCGACACACUAUCAUUAACUGAAUCCAUAGGUUAAUGAGGCGAACCGGGGGAACUGAAACAUCUAAGUACCCCGAGGAAAAGAAAUCAACCGAGAUUCCCCCAGUAGCGGCGAGCGAACGGGGAGCAGCCCAGAGCCUGAAUCAGUGUGUGUGUUAGUGGAAGCGUCUGGAAAGGCGCGCGAUACAGGGUGACAGCCCCGUACACAAAAAUGCACAUGCUGUGAGCUCGAUGAGUAGGGCGGGACACGUGGUAUCCUGUCUGAAUAUGGGGGGACCAUCCUCCAAGGCUAAAUACUCCUGACUGACCGAUAGUGAACCAGUACCGUGAGGGAAAGGCGAAAAGAACCCCGGCGAGGGGAGUGAAAAAGAACCUGAAACCGUGUACGUACAAGCAGUGGGAGCACGCUUAGGCGUGUGACUGCGUACCUUUUGUAUAAUGGGUCAGCGACUUAUAUUCUGUAGCAAGGUUAACCGAAUAGGGGAGCCGAAGGGAAACCGAGUCUUAACUGGGCGUUAAGUUGCAGGGUAUAGACCCGAAACCCGGUGAUCUAGCCAUGGGCAGGUUGAAGGUUGGGUAACACUAACUGGAGGACCGAACCGACUAAUGUUGAAAAAUUAGCGGAUGACUUGUGGCUGGGGGUGAAAGGCCAAUCAAACCGGGAGAUAGCUGGUUCUCCCCGAAAGCUAUUUAGGUAGCGCCUCGUGAAUUCAUCUCCGGGGGUAGAGCACUGUUUCGGCAAGGGGGUCAUCCCGACUUACCAACCCGAUGCAAACUGCGAAUACCGGAGAAUGUUAUCACGGGAGACACACGGCGGGUGCUAACGUCCGUCGUGAAGAGGGAAACAACCCAGACCGCCAGCUAAGGUCCCAAAGUCAUGGUUAAGUGGGAAACGAUGUGGGAAGGCCCAGACAGCCAGGAUGUUGGCUUAGAAGCAGCCAUCAUUUAAAGAAAGCGUAAUAGCUCACUGGUCGAGUCGGCCUGCGCGGAAGAUGUAACGGGGCUAAACCAUGCACCGAAGCUGCGGCAGCGACGCUGAUGCGUUGUUGGGUAGGGGAGCGUUCUGUAAGCCUGCGAAGGUGUGCUGUGAGGCAUGCUGGAGGUAUCAGAAGUGCGAAUGCUGACAUAAGUAACGAUAAAGCGGGUGAAAAGCCCGCUCGCCGGAAGACCAAGGGUUCCUGUCCAACGUUAAUCGGGGCAGGGUGAGUCGACCCCUAAGGCGAGGCCGAAAGGCGUAGUCGAUGGGAAACAGGUUAAUAUUCCUGUACUUGGUGUUACUGCGAAGGGGGGACGGAGAAGGCUAUGUUGGCCGGGCGACGGUUGUCCCGGUUUAAGCGUGUAGGCUGGUUUUCCAGGCAAAUCCGGAAAAUCAAGGCUGAGGCGUGAUGACGAGGCACUACGGUGCUGAAGCAACAAAUGCCCUGCUUCCAGGAAAAGCCUCUAAGCAUCAGGUAACAUCAAAUCGUACCCCAAACCGACACAGGUGGUCAGGUAGAGAAUACCAAGGCGCUUGAGAGAACUCGGGUGAAGGAACUAGGCAAAAUGGUGCCGUAACUUCGGGAGAAGGCACGCUGAUAUGUAGGUGAGGUCCCUCGCGGAUGGAGCUGAAAUCAGUCGAAGAUACCAGCUGGCUGCAACUGUUUAUUAAAAACACAGCACUGUGCAAACACGAAAGUGGACGUAUACGGUGUGACGCCUGCCCGGUGCCGGAAGGUUAAUUGAUGGGGUCAGCGCAAGCGAAGCUCUUGAUCGAAGCCCCGGUAAACGGCGGCCGUAACUAUAACGGUCCUAAGGUAGCGAAAUUCCUUGUCGGGUAAGUUCCGACCUGCACGAAUGGCGUAAUGAUGGCCAGGCUGUCUCCACCCGAGACUCAGUGAAAUUGAACUCGCUGUGAAGAUGCAGUGUACCCGCGGCAAGACGGAAAGACCCCGUGAACCUUUACUAUAGCUUGACACUGAACAUUGAGCCUUGAUGUGUAGGAUAGGUGGGAGGCUUAGAAGUGUGGACGCCAGUCUGCAUGGAGCCGACCUUGAAAUACCACCCUUUAAUGUUUGAUGUUCUAACGUUGACCCGUAAUCCGGGUUGCGGACAGUGUCUGGUGGGUAGUUUGACUGGGGCGGUCUCCUCCUAAAGAGUAACGGAGGAGCACGAAGGUUGGCUAAUCCUGGUCGGACAUCAGGAGGUUAGUGCAAUGGCAUAAGCCAGCUUGACUGCGAGCGUGACGGCGCGAGCAGGUGCGAAAGCAGGUCAUAGUGAUCCGGUGGUUCUGAAUGGAAGGGCCAUCGCUCAACGGAUAAAAGGUACUCCGGGGAUAACAGGCUGAUACCGCCCAAGAGUUCAUAUCGACGGCGGUGUUUGGCACCUCGAUGUCGGCUCAUCACAUCCUGGGGCUGAAGUAGGUCCCAAGGGUAUGGCUGUUCGCCAUUUAAAGUGGUACGCGAGCUGGGUUUAGAACGUCGUGAGACAGUUCGGUCCCUAUCUGCCGUGGGCGCUGGAGAACUGAGGGGGGCUGCUCCUAGUACGAGAGGACCGGAGUGGACGCAUCACUGGUGUUCGGGUUGUCAUGCCAAUGGCACUGCCCGGUAGCUAAAUGCGGAAGAGAUAAGUGCUGAAAGCAUCUAAGCACGAAACUUGCCCCGAGAUGAGUUCUCCCUGACUCCUUGAGAGUCCUGAAGGAACGUUGAAGACGACGACGUUGAUAGGCCGGGUGUGUAAGCGCAGCGAUGCGUUGAGCUAACCGGUACUAAUGAACCGUGAGGCUUAACCU